GUGCUCGUUUCAGCAGCACAUAUACCAAAAUUGGAACGAUACAGAGAAGAUUAGCAUGGCCCCUGCACAAGGAAAGGCCAGGGCAGGUAAGAGGUUAUGCCAAGCUAG